CUAAAGCAAAGGGGGCGUAUGAAAAAAGACAGAAAUUAUAUGACCAAAAGUGAAAAAUAUAUCGGAUUAAUAAGGCCGCCGUGCGUGAAAAGUGCCAAAAAUACUAAUAAUAAUACAAAAAGAUUCAAAGUCACAAAUAAUCUACCUACUUAAUAGCAGCUAAUUUUAGUGCUCCUUGCCGUUAAUCGCCCACUGCUGAGCAUCAUAGGCCUCCCUUCGUGUACGCCACUUAUCCCG